GCCCUAAUUCCUCGGGAGGCAGCAGUAAUGCGAAUUUUGGCAAUGGAGGAAGCUUAGUCUGAGCACCGCCGCGUGAAUGACGAAGUACUUCGUAUGUAAAGUCUUUUAUCACGAAGAAAAGCAAAUAGGUGAACCAUUUGUUUGCCGGUGUUGAUGAAUAAGCCCCGGCUAAUUAUGUGCCAGCAGCCGCGGUGAGACAUAAGGGGCAAGUGUUAUCCGGAAUUUUUGGGCGUAAAGGGUGCGUAGGCGGUGUAGUAAGUCAGUGGUGUAAUGGCAACGCUAACGUUGUCCGGCUAUUUGAAACUGCUAAACUGAGUUAGAUAGAGGCGAGUGGAAUUCCAUGUGUAGCGGUAAAAUGCGUAAAUAUAUGGAGGGACACCAGAGGCGUAGGCGGCUCGCUGGGUUUUAACUGACGCUGAGGCACGAAAGCGUGGGGAGCAAACAGGAUUAGAUACCCUGGUAGUCCACGCCGUAAACGAUGAGUAGUAAGUGUCGGGUUAAACCGGUAGUGAAGUUAACACAUUAAGUACUCCGCCUGAGUAGUACGUACGCAAGUAUGAAACUUAAAGGAAUUGACGGGACUCCGCACAAGCGGUGGAUCAUGUUGUUUAAUUUGAAGAUACCCGAAAAACCUUACCAGGUCUUGACAUGUUUUUGCAAAAUGAUAGUAAUAUCGUGGAGGUUACCAGAAACACAGGUGGUGCAUGGUUGUCGUCAGCUCGUGUCGUGAGAUGUUAGGGUUAGUCCUAAAUUGAGCGAAACCCUUAUCGUUAGUUGUCAGCGCGUUAUGGUGGGGACUUUAACGAGAUUGCCAAUGAUAAAUUGGCGGAAGCUGAGGAUCACGUCAAAUCAGCAUGCCCCUUAUGCCCCGGGGUACAAACGUGAUACAAUGGCUGUUACAAAGGGUAGUUGAAACGCAAGUUAGUGGCCAAUCCCCAAAAACAGUCCCAGUCCGGAUUGAAGUAUGCAUACUCGACUUCAUGAAUCUUGGUAAUCAGUCGUACGUGAGAUUCCAG
rnacentral:rRNA from 1 species